GACGAACGCUGGCGGCGUGCCUAAUACAUGCAAGUAGAACGCUGAAGGAGGAGCUUGCUUCUCUGGACGAGUUGCGAACGGGUGAGUAACGCGUAGGUAACCUGCCUGGUAGCGGGGGAUAACUAUUGGAAACGAUAGCUAAUACCGCAUAAUAGCAGUUGUUGCAUGACAACUGUUUGAAAGGUGCAAUUGCACCACUACCAGAUGGACCUGCGUUGUAUUAGCUAGUUGGUGGGGUAACGGCUCACCAAGGCGACGAUACAUAGCCGACCUGAGAGGGUGAUCGGCCACACUGGGACUGAGACACGGCCCAGACUCCUACGGGAGGCAGCAGUAGGGAAUCUUCGGCAAUGGACGGAAGUCUGACCGAGCAACGCCGCGUGAGUGAAGAAGGUUUUCGGAUCGUAAAGCUCUGUUGUAAGAGAAGAACGAGUGUGAGAGUGGAAAGUUCACACUGUGACGGUAUCUUACCAGAAAGGGACGGCUAACUACGUG
rnacentral:rRNA from 1 species